AUUGAACGCUGGCGGCAGGCCUAACACAUGCAAGUCGAGCGGAUGAGAGGAGCUUGCUCCUCGAUUCAGCGGCGGACGGGUGAGUAAUGCCUAGGAAUCUGCCUAGUAGUGGGGGACAACGUUUCGAAAGGAACGCUAAUACCGCAUACGUCCUACGGGAGAAAGUGGGGGAUCUUCGGACCUCACGCUAUUAGAUGAGCCUAGGUCGGAUUAGCUAGUUGGUAGGGUAAAGGCCUACCAAGGCGACGAUCCGUAACUGGUCUGAGAGGAUGAUCAGUCACACUGGAACUGAGACACGGUCCAGACUCCUACGGGAGGCAGCAGUGGGGAAUAGUGGACAAUGGGCGAUAGCCUGAUCCAGCCAUGCCGCGUGUGUGAAGAAGGCCCUCGGGUCGUAAAGCACUUUAAGUUGGGAGGAAGGGCUUACAGCGAAUACCUGUGAGUUUUGACGUUACCGACAGAAUAAGCACCGGCUAACUUCGUGCCAGCCGCCGCGGUAAAAC
rnacentral:rRNA from 1 species